UAUAUAAUGAUAAGACGACUAGAACUAACAUGAAAUCGCUAUCGGUUUAUUGGAAUGCAGGAAGUUGCCAAAGCCAUCACUAGAUAGACAGACUGCUGCUACUAUAUACAUAUAAACCAUAUCUUAAACUAGACGUCUUCACCACUCAACCAACAUGACUCGAUAGAUAUAUGGAAAAGAAACGAGAUAUCUUUUUAUAUUUAUUUAUGGUCAUAAGGAAUAUGCCCUCUCUUGAUUUCGUUGGUAGUUUUGGGAUGUUUAAUAGAUCAGGCCUGGUGAUGCUCUGCUGUGCAUGCAGUGCAUUUGGGGAGAAAAUUCCUUUUA